GUUAAGUCAGAUGUGAAAGACCCGGGGCGUUAACCUCGGAAUUGCAUUUGUAAACUAGGCAGGCUAGAGUCUUGUAGAGGGGGGUAGGAAGUUUCAGGUGUAGCGGUGAAAUAGCGUAGAGAUCUGAAGGAAUACCAGUGGCGAAGGCGGCCCCCUCGGACAAAGACUGACGCUCAGAUGCGAAAGCGUGGGGAGCAAACAGGAUUAGAUACCCUGGUAG
rnacentral:rRNA from 1 species